rnacentral:rRNA from 1 species
CUCCUCACCUUGCUCCCCAAGCGUGCGGAUGCAGCAGCACUCUCUGAUUACCAUCCCAUUAGCCUCAUACACCUCAUCGCCAAGCUCUUUGCGAAGGUGCUAUCGCUCCGCCUCGCGUCGAAACUCGGUGCCAUGGUCUCAACAAACCAAAGCGCAUUCAUCGCCGGGAGAUGCAUCCACGAUAACUUCCUCCUGGUUCAGCAGACGGCCCGCCUUCUUCACAACCUCAAGCCGCCGUGCAUGCUACUCAAGCUCGACAUUGCUAAGGCCUUCGAUAGCGUCUCUUGGCCUUUCCUUCUGUAG